rnacentral:rRNA from 1 species
GUUUGAUCCUGGCUCAGAGCGAACGUUUGCGGCGGGGCUUAACACAUGCAAGUCGAACGAGAAUCCCUUCGGGGAGGAAAGUGGCGCACGGGUGCGUAACACGUGGAUGACCUACCCCUUGGUUCGGGACAACAGCGGGAAACUGCUGCUAAUACCGGAUGUGUCGUAGCAAUACGAGAAAGGCCCGCAAGGGUCGCCAGGGGACGGGUCCGCGUCCCAUCAGCUAGUUGGUGAGGUAAUGGCUCACCAAGGCGAAGACGGGUAGCUGGUCUGAGAGGAUGAUCAGCCACACUGGAACUGAGACACGGUCCAGACUCCUACGGGAGGCAGCAUGGGAAUAUUGCGCAAUGGCGAAAGCCUGACGCAGCCACGCCGCGUGAGCGAUGAAGGUCUUCGGAUCGU